UACGUAGGUGGCAAGCGUUGUCCGGAAUUAUUGGGCGUAAAGCGCGCGCAGGCGGCCUUUUAAGUCUGAUGUGAAAGCCCACGGCUCAACCGUGGAAGGUCAUUGGAAACUGAAAGGCUUGAGUACAGAAGAGGAAAGCGGAAUUCCACGUGUAGCGGUGAAAUGCGUAGAGAUGUGGAGGAACACCAGUGGCGAAGGCGGUUCUCUGGGCAUUACCUGACGCUGAGGAGCGAAAGUGUGGGGAGCGAACGGG
rnacentral:rRNA from 1 species